rnacentral:lncRNA from 1 species
CUUCCCCAGAAUGUACCACAACAACAACAACCACAGCAACAGCCUCAUCCACACUCACACCCGCAGCAUCCACAUCCACAUUCUCACCCAUCUGAUUUGCAUACUCAGGAAUCAGCACAAUCUCAGGCACAGGUACCGAUACAUGGACAAGCUCAGUCACAAUCACAAUUGCAAUCGCAACUUCAAUCACAACAACAACAACAACAACCAUCUUCGCAAACUCAACCGUCUUUAAUACCAUCAAUUCCACCUCCUCAACAGCAACAGCAUCAACCACAUAUGCCACAGCUAGCAACUCAACAACAACAGCUUCAGCAACCUUUACCCCAACCACCAACACAUCCACAUUUACAUCCUUCUCAUCCACAUCAACAAACACAUCCACCUCAUCUACAUUCGCAAGUUCAGGCACAAGCACAAGCACAGGCUCAAGCACAAUCGCAAACACCGCCACAGUCUUCACCACAACCUCCUCAACAACCUUUAAGUCAGCCUCCACCUCUACUUCAACAACAG